UACGUAGGGUGCGAGCGUUAAUCGGAAUUACUGGGCGUAAAGCGUGCGCAGGCGGUUUGUUAAGACAGGCGUGAAAUCCCCGGGCUCAACCUGGGAACGGCGCUUGUGACUGGCAGGCUAGAGUACGGCAGAGGGGGGUGGAAUUCCACGUGUAGCAGUGAAAUGCGUAGAGAUGUGGAGGAACACCGGUGUGGAGCGGACGGCCAGCCCUGGGACCGAAUACUGACGCUGA
rnacentral:rRNA from 1 species